GCCCCGGUGGCGUAGCUGGUUAGCGCGGCCGCCUCGUAAGCGGCAGGGCGAGGGUUCGAAUCCCUCCCGGGGCU
rnacentral:tRNA from 1 species